UUCAAGAAAUCUCUUACAUGGAUAAGAAGAGAGGGUAUUAGGACUUGGAGGAAGAGAUUAAGUUUCCAAAACAAAAAUCAAAACUGGCAUUUAUAUUCCAGGAUGGUAGGUAAGUAGAUUAUUGAUAUACUAUUAAGUGCUUUAAAUAUUUUAUAACAUGUUUUAAUAAGAAACAAUCUGAAUAUACAAUUUCUAAGCUAAAAACAAAACCCUAAGACUAUGGAGACUUCCAUGACACAAUCUUCCCAAUUUAUUAAAAGUAUGCUAAUAAGAUAAAAAUGUAUGGCUCUUGAGAUUAUCUCCAUGAGUAGGAUAAAGCCAUAUAAGCCUGACACUUUAAAAAAAAAAAAAAAACACUCUGGGAUUAAAGUUAAAAAUUGAGAGACCUUAAUCUACCUAACUAUCCUCUGACCUCCACCCGCAUCACAGCAUGGCACUCUUAUGUCCAAAUACACAUUAUACAACACAUAAUGAUAAUAAUAGUAAUAAUAAUUCAAAAGAUUAAGACAAAAUAUAAAGGACUAAAGGACUAGAAGAAAUGUUCCCUGGGUUUAAUGCCAAGAACCCCCCCCAAAAAAAACUAUUAUUAUAACAUGAUAAUUUUAAGCGCAGAAUAGGUGUCUAAAUAAUUAAGCUAUUAUCUCUUGACCACUAAAAAGACGAAUUAGUAUCAAUUUUUAAAAGACCUUCAGAAGGUCUUUGUUAAUUGUCCAGGCCACUAUAGUACUGCUUAAUUCUGUUUACCUUUAAAUUCUCAAGCCUAGAGAAUUAUGUAUUACCAUACAUACAUAUUUCAAGAGCCUACAGCAGAUAUCCUAACCCAGACCUGAACAAUCUAGAAAGUAGUUCAUUCAAUCCAACAUUUACAAAUACCUGCAUCUGCAGAAGGGAAAGGAAAAGGACAAAAGGGAGAGAACAGUGAGAGAGGAAAGAACUGGGAGACAUGAGGUUAGAAAGAGAGAAAAAAGAGAAGAGGAAAGAUGGAAAAAGGGAGAAGACAAAGGAUACAGAAUACAAAAUGUGUACACAAACAUUUACUGUUCUCCCAGACUCUUCAGUAUAGGAAUAGACAUCUAAUUUCAACUGGUUAAGUUAUGUGCAUAUAUCUGUUUUUACGUUCACCUCUUCCCUGUGUUUCAUUUAAC
rnacentral:lncRNA from 1 species